GAUAAAAUGCCUGAUUAAAGGGUCAUCUUGAUAGGGUGAAUCAAGUACUAUAGGUACUUUUAUUA
rnacentral:tRNA from 1 species